GUGAGGAAUAUUGCGCAAUGGGGGCAACCCUGACGCAGCGACGCCGCGUGAGUGAGGAAGGCCUUCGGGUCGUAAAGCUCUGUCAAGAGGGAAGAAGUGCAUGGUGGUUAAUAUCUGUCAUGUUUGACGGUACCUCUAAAGGAAGCACCGGCUAACUCCGUGCCAGCAGCCGCGGUAAUACGGAGGGUGCAAGCGUUGUUCGGAAUCACUGGGCGUAAAGGGCGCGCAGGCGGCCUGAUCAGUCAGAUGUGAAAGCCCACGGCUUAACUGUGGAAGUGCAUUUGAAACUGUCAGGCUUGAGUACCAGAGGGGAAAGUGGAAUUCCCGGUGUAGAGGUGAAAUUCGUAGAUAUCGGGAGGAAUACCGGUGGCGAAGGCGACUUUCUGGCUGGAUACUGACGCUGAGGCGCGAAAGCGUGGGGAGCAAACAGGAUUAGAAACCCUAGUAGUCC
rnacentral:rRNA from 1 species